rnacentral:rRNA from 1 species
GACAGAGGGUGCAAACGUUGUUCGGAAUUACUGGGCGUAAAGCGCGUGUAGGCUGCUCGGAAAGUCGGAUGUGAAAGCCCUGGGCUCAACCUAGGAAGUGCAUUCGAAACUUCUGAGCUGGAGUGCUGGAGAGGAAGGCGGAAUUCUCGGUGUAGAGGUGAAAUUCGUAGAUAUCGGGAGGAACACCCGUGGCUAAGGCGGUUCUCUAGUACGGUACUGACGCUGAGACGCGAAAGCGUGGGGAGCGAACAGG